GACGAACGCUGGCGGCGUGCCUAAUACAUGCAAGUCGAACGCAGUGGGGACGGGUGAGUAACCCGUGGGUAACCUCCCAUCAGAGGGGAUAACACUUGCAAACAGGUGCUAAACCGAUACUGAUGGAUGGACCAGCGGUGCAUUAGCUAGUUGGGGAGGUAACGGCUCACCAAGGCCACGAUGCAUAGCCGACCUGAGAGGGUGAUCGGCCACACUGGGACUGAGACACGGCCCAGACUCCUACGGGAGGAAGAAGUAGGGAAUCGUCGGCAAUGGCCGAAAGUCUGACCGAGCAACGCCGCGUGAGUGAAGAAGGUUGUCGGAUCGUAAAACUCUGUUGUUAGAGAAGCGGUAUCUAACCAGAAAGCCACGGCUAACUACGUGCCAGCAGCCGCGGUAAUUC
rnacentral:rRNA from 1 species